UGGGUCCCUCCCACGACACGUGGGGAUUAUGGGAACUACAAUUCAAGAUGAGAUUUGGAUAGGGGCACAGCUAAACUAUAUAGUAGCCAAUCCCAGUUAAGCUGUAGAGUGUGUUCUAGAGACAGCGCCCUCUGGAGCCUGGGAGAAGGUGCCUAUCUUUGUGAUUUCCCCCCAUGUUGUUUGAUCAGACCAAGCACAGUGGGGUUGGACCUCAGGCUCUCGUAGCUGAAUUUUGAGUUUGCAAAUUCUGAAUUUUUAUUCACUUUGAUUCAAAGAGUGCACUUAAAGCCCCUGGGCCAGGGCAGGAGGUGGAGGAGGGCUUGUUACAAGUCCAGGUUAGGGUCGGCUUCUCAUGUGGACAGAAGAGCUUGCUACCCUCAGACCCUCUAGAUGGGCUGCUCCAGCAUGAAGCACAGAAAAAAUGGCCACCAAGGCCAGGCAGUGUCAUGGCAGGUGGACCUCCGAGGGCCAGAGAGCCGGGGGGAGAGAGACAUGAGGUUCCUGCUGUGUUUGAGAACAGGCAGAAGGAAGCCGAAGUCACCCUGAGACAUUCACUUCUCUCUCUCUCUCCUAGAUACUUGUCUCUCCCAAACCAACCAAGGCUGCAUUAACCUUUCCUGAAAAUAAAAAACAGUUCUGCUUUUACCAUUUGGGGGCCUGAGGCAAGUGUUCAAAUAGAAGCCCUCCUGCCAGUCUAUUAAAUGAAGCUACUAAACUAUUAAAUAGAAUAUGUCUGCUCCUCUCACCUUCCUCUCUGCUCAGUAGUAUGUCUCUUACCACCUGGAGGCUGGGUCUACUUACUGCCUUUCCUGCCACAAGACCUUGUCUUGUGCCCAGAGGGCCUCAGGCACGUGCGUGUGGACACCACAUUCCCAUCCACUAGAAUGGCAAACAUUACAAAGACUGUUUAAAGUGUUGUCAAGGACGUGAAGCAAUUGAAACCCUUAGACACUGCCGGUGGGGAUGCAAAAUGGCACAGUCGCUUUGGAAAACAGUAUGGCAAUUUCUAAUGAGGUCCCACAUGCAGCUACCAUGUGAUCCAGCAAUCCCACUCCUAGGCAUGUACCCAGGAGAAACACAAACUUAUGGACACAAAAACUUGUACGUGAAUGUAUAUGGCAGCUUUCAUCAUAAUAACUGGAUACAGUUAAAACUGGAUACAGCCUAAAUGUGCCUCACCUGAGGAACAGAUGAGCAUCCCGUGGUAUAUCCACACAAGGCAGCACCACUCCCUCAGCAAUAAAAAAAGAACAAACUACUGACCCAUGGAACAACACGAGGGCAUCUCCAAUGCUUUGUGCUAAGCAAAAGAAGCCAGAUCCCAAAGCUAUACUGUAUGUUGUUUAAUUCCAUUUAUAUGACAUUUUGGAAAUGGCGGAACUAUAGGAGCAGAGAGCGGGUUAGUGGUUAGCAGCAGUAAAGGGCAGAGGAGGGAAUAUUUUGGGUGAUAAAACUGCUCCAUCUUGACUGUGGUGGUGGGUUCAUCAGUGUGCACUUGUUAAAACACCACAAAGAAUGAAUUUUACUGUAUGUUAAUUGAAUAUACUAAAAAAUAUCAGAUUGCUCUUUGGAUAAAAUCCAAAAUCAGCUGCUUGGCUGCCCCAGGUGCUCACCAGUGACUCGGCCUGCCAGCCUCACCUGCAUUUCUUUCUGUUCCUCUCCAGCCACUCCAGGCCUCAGGGCCUUUGCACAUGCUGCUUGGUCUACCUGGCUGACCUCUGCUACCCUCCAUUCUACAGUAUGGGCCCACUUCCAGCCAUUCUAUACACACCUUGGUGUUCUCAGAUCAGCACCUGCCAAGCCAGGUCAGAGCAACCUCCUAUUGCUCCCUUAGCCUCUGUGUUUCUCCUCUGUGUCCUGAUUACACAGGUGAUGAACUCUUGAAUGCUGGACUCCCUCUACAGCCUAAGCGCCAUGAGGACAGGGAUGGCAUUUUUCUUUCCCACCACCGAACCUGGCUUUCAGGGUGGCUUGCACAAACUCCAUGCUCAGUAAAUGUUUGCCAGAGGGAUGGACUGAUGACUCCAUCACUUUAUAGAUAAAGGUCCUCCAAGGCCUGUCGACAGAGCCAGGAUGAUCCCCCCGUCUCCAGGCCCGCUUCCCAUGGGCUUUUCCUCUUGCACAGCUGCCUUUCCAAGGAAGGGACAUGGAAUGAGAGUCCUGCCUGAUCAGAAGGGGCUACAGCCCUUAGGAGCUAGAGGUAAAAAAGGAUGGAGACUUCAACCGUUUCAAGAGCUUCCCCACACAGAGCUGAGCACUACAGUCUGGACUUCAAGAAGUUCAAACAAAGGAAUUCCAGAAGUGCAUAAUUGCAGGCUUGGACUCCACAUGAAAAAGAACAGAGGCAGGGUGGAAUUCAGAUUCACAGGAGGGAAAAUGGAGCUCCAGAGACAUUAACAGACUAUUGACAGAGCUCCUAUGGGGAAACCUUGGUGUCCACAUACCCAGCACUGUGGAAGUAUGCAGCUGUGGGUUCACACCAAUCUGCCUUUCCCUAAGCUGAGCCAGGGACCCACGUGGCUCAUUUGGCCCAGGAAGAGAAUCCGGGGGAGGCCACAGAACAAAGCAAAAUUAACCAGCCUCAAAAUUACAUCACCAACCCAGGGUUCUAGCAAUCGAGAUAAGCAAAUGACCACAUUCAGGCAAAACCCAUACCAAAUGAGUGGCAAAUCCCCACUUAACAGAUGAGAACACUGAGACUUAGGCAAAGUGACUUGCUCAGGGUCACACCGCUGGUCGGUAGCUGAGCCAGGCUGGAACCAGGUCUCCUGGGUUCACUUCAGCAUGGCCUUGUCUACCGCGGGUACCAGGAUCUGCCUGGUGUGGCUACAGCUGCUGACCACCAGCAUGGCCAACAAGCCACCCUUUGUAAUAAGCCACCCCAAAACUCAGUGGCUCCCAAUGACAAUCAGUUAUUUCUUGUGGUCAUAGGGCUUGACGGGGAUUAGCUGGACAGCUCUCACUUUAAGCAUCUCACUGCAGGUGCAGUCCAAUGGGGCUACCUAAAGGCUUGACUGGGCUGGACGUCCAGUGUGGUGCCUCCACAUGGCUGCCAGUUGACUUUGGCUGUCAGCUGAGAGCUCCACUGGGGCCAUCGUGUGACCUCUCCACGUGGCAUAGGCCUCUCACAGCAUGGUAGAUGUGCACUGAGAGGAAAUGCCACCAGAAGUCAGUAUUCUAAGAAGCAGGAAGUGGAAAUGGCCAGAUCAGGUAAGGGCUAUGCCAGGGACGGCCGGGCGUCCUCUCUGCUGCAUGCGAGUGGUUAAAACAGCCCCAGGACCAGCCCAGGGCCAGGUAAGAGGAAAUACAUUCCACCCCUUCACUGGGUGAGGGAGAAAGCCAACUUCCAAAGAACCUACGUGAUGAACAAUGAUGGACAACAGUGUUGUGGCUGUCUCUGGGAAAAUACAAUCUACCACCAUAGCCAUGGCAACCAGACCAGGCAAUCCCUGUGACUGGACCCUUAGGAGAAAGCGUAGAGCUCCUACCAAGUGCCCUAGAAAGGACAAGCCAGGCCCACGUGCCAGCCAGGCUGGGAGCAGCUGCUGUGGCGAGUGGAAAAGCCAUACUCUGGGAGCGGGAGACGCCCCUAGAGGCCUGACCCCGCCCAGCGCUUGCUCUCUUGGGGCCUCAGAUCCUCGUCUGAAAUGGGGGACCAGACCACACAGAGACCCCUCUGGGGACAUUCGGUGAUUCUGCUGAGUCAAUGGACUAAUUGCUCAUGCAGACACAGCCACCAGCCCAUCACACAGUGGGUCAGCAGUAUCUUCCAAGCCACUGAUUUGAGUGGAUAUUGAAGGAGGCCAUGAAGCCCUCAGUAAAACUGAAGUCCCAGUCAAAGGCCUGACCUCGAAGCCUAGGGCAUGUGUGAGUGGAGGCUCUCUACGUCUGCUGCAGAAAGGGGGAGAAGGGAGAGGUGGCUGCUGGCGGGUUGGGGACGCUCAUGCAACAACGGACAUGGAGACCUCAAACACCGGGUAUGCCGGAAUGCCCUGCACAGACGGCACUCUCCAGUGUGAAGACGACAAAGCCAGCCUCUGGAUUUUGUGUGUGUGUGUGUGUUUUAUUUUUUAAAAAUUAUUUUACUUUUUCAUAAGUUAUUGGAAUACAGUUGGUGUUUGGUUACAUGA